ensembl:lncRNA
CUCCUGCUGGCUGAGAAUCAAGUGCAGGGCUUUCAGGUCCAAAGAUUCCUGUUGGGGAGAGUCCUCACUCCAGGAAAAAGAGGGUUUGUUUGUGAAUACUUGGAAACGGGAAGGUUCUUUAUCUGGUGAUCUUGGAUUGUAAUGUGUGUUUUGUGUGAGUGUCUCAGUGACUAAUCCCCCUCCUGAAUGACCCCUCUGCUCCCUGACCGGGUUACUCUUCCCUUGCUCAGUUUUUUCCUAACCCAAAAAAAGACUUUUUAUGUGUUCAUUUGUGUCUUUGCAGGGUGGGGGUUGAGACACUGGGAGCUUUUAUUUAAUACCUGAAGCGUGCUCUGUGAUCUGGGCUUGUGAGCUGUGAUUCCUGGGGUCUGCUGUGAGUGAUUUGCAGCAGUUUUGGAGGGGCUGGCACAGAGAUAUUGGUGAUUGGGGUUUGUAUUAGUCCUGCUGAUAAAACCCCGUGUAAGGGAACACUCAGGAACAAGGGAUUGGUUGUUGUUAUGUGUUAGGACCCAAAAGAGUCAAGAAUAGAGAUCAAGGAGUUCAAAUUGUGGUGCCUCAGCCAGUGUUUUCACCUUCCCUGUUUGGAAAGCAGCUGAGUUCAUUUUAUUGAAGGUGUUGGUUUUGCUGGCAGGUUGGAGCCGACUCCUGCUGAUUCCUCCUCUGAAGGGGCUGCUCAGAGGGCACCAGGAGCAGAGGAACCUCAGAACAGGCCUCUAGAGCUGGAAGCAGAGAUCCAGGCAGCGACAGCGACAUGGGAGACAGUUCCCCUCAUUCCCCUGGGCUCUGUCUGUGUCGGGAAUUCAAACAGGACACAGUUCCCAGGGCCAAGAGGUUGUUGGAUUCCGCAGCGCAGCUCCAGGCCCUGCAGUCAGCCAAGAGGGUUCGUGUGUUGAGUCAUGUCUGCAGCACUCCAAAGCCAUCAGAGAACCUGCUGCUCCUCUCCCCAGGUUCUCCCUGCUCCCAUUUUCUGGAUGACAGUGGCCAGGGCGACCUUGCUGCCAGUUUUUGUGGGUCCAAGUACGACGACGUGACCAUUUCCCUGGACACCAGCAGGUGCUUCGAUGACACUGAGCUGGAUGACUCCCUGCUGGAACUGUCAGGCAGUGAGAAAGGGAACUCUCCUUUCGAUUACACCGAGGAGGAGAUCCAGGAAAUCUUGGCAGAUGAUUGCACGGAAGCUGAGCAGCACCUGAUUAGAAAAAGCCAUCUGAGCCAAAGUGUAAAUGAGGAGAGCGGACAGGCCGGGAGCAGCAGCUGCAGCGGGGCCUCAGUCAGGGAAGAUGCCUCGGAGAUUGCAGAGGAACCAGAGGCACCUCUGCCCCAGGAGCAUCCCCCAGUCAGUUCUGGGUGUUAUCCUGGCUUUUUGAGUGGAAGUGCUGGUUUGGGUGGGAUCCACCUGCAGCAGGACCUUGACCUGCAGGAUCUCCUGCGUCUCAGCCCCUUUGCUGUCGGCGGUUCCGAUGAGCCCGUGGAGGGCAAUUAUCUGGUGGAGGUGGAGAGAGAAGCUCUAGAAGCAAUGAUAGAUGAUUGUUUAGGAUAUACAACUGCUGGUAGCUGCAUUCUGGAAGAAUCCUUGGAGCCUAAAGGCCAGGAAAGCCUGGCUUCGGAUUGCCUGGGAAGAGCCGUGCCCUUGUUUCACCUUGGUGAUGAGAGCCCAGCUCCUGGGUCUGGAAACAGAGAACUUCCCAAAGCAACAGUGAACUUGUUUUCAAGGAAAUCAGACUCUCCAGAGGAUGGUGAAGGGGAAUCUCCAGGAGCUGAGCAGCCAUCAGGCGACAUUAAAUUAAGUGACACAACUAUAGUCCAGACUGUGCAGGAAGAGACAUCCAGUGGGAAGAAACCUGGCAAAGUUAUUACUGUCCCAC